rnacentral:lncRNA from 1 species
GUAGCAUUUAAUCUUCACAAAAAUCCUGUGAGUUCAAUGCUGUUAUUAUUUCCAUUUUACAGAGGAGAAAAUGGAGUCACAGAGAGGAAGUAAUAUGUCUAAAGUUACACAACUCAUAGUAGAAGCAGCAUGGGAACAGAAAGAGCUGACCCGAGUCCAUGCUCCUGACCAUGAUGCCACCAGUUGUGAAGUCAUCUUUUCCUGGGGCCAUUUGCUGACAGG